rnacentral:misc_RNA from 1 species
GUCUCCGCAUAUUUCUCUUUCUACAAGUGGAGGGUCCACUGUCACCUAUGCAUUUUUGAUGGAGAAUUUUCAUUUGCUAUUCUUUAACUUUGCUUAGAAUUUCAGAAAACAAGUAGGGGAGAAGUGGAUUCUGCUCAUGGGUACUAGAUUUAUCUACAGUAUCAAAACUCAGUUUGAUUUUGUUAAUAAUACAGAUCUUGUAAACGGUUUUGUGUAUGAUAAUAUGUAUAGGGUCGUUAGUUUUUUCUGGGGUUUUGUCUGCAACUACACUUUUCAUCUGUUUGGUUCGUUGUUCAGACACAUCUUCAGAUUUCAGAAGGGAAAUUUUGUGAACAAGUUUGAAUCCAAUUCUAAUGAGGUUUAUCAUCAACAAGAAGAUGAUCAAUUUGGUUCAAGUUGCUCUCAGGAUUCAGAGACAGAUAAAAGCGAUGCAGAAGAAGAGAAUUCUGUUGUUAUGGAGAGUGCCUUGUCGGCAAGCACUAAUAGGUAUGAGUUCUUGGCUGGGAAAGGCAUAUGUGGAUUCUUGGAAGAACCAAGAACCUUGAGCUUUACUGUCCAUGAAGUGUUCCUGGAUUCAAAUAAUGAUGAAAUUUUGAACACUUCAAUUUUUGAUAUCAGACGCUCCACUGACGAGGAAUUCCAAGACGUUGGACUAGAUGCAGAGGCAGCCGAUAAAGCAGAGAAAUCAGGGGCCUUGGUCAAAAGUUUUGUCGUUGACGAAGCUUCAGAAAAGAAACAGGAACAAGAAACAUUGAUGGGAGAGAAGAAUUCUGAUGAAGAAAAUUUAACUUUUGAUGAUGGAGCCACUGUCGACAGGGGAUUUGGAAAUCAUGAAUUAGAUACGGAGAAAACAGAGAACUCGAUCACAAGUUCGGUCAUUGAAGAGGCAGAGAAGCAAGAACUGGAAACAUCCACCGAGGAAAAGAUUUCUGAUAACCUAGAGACGGGUGGUUUAGACCAUAGCUCUGAACUUUCGGUUAAUAGAACUGUCGGUGAAGUAUUUGAAUCUGAAAGUCUCAUUUUCAUCUAUGAGGAGAAGAUGGAACAUAGUAGAGAAGCAGAAGGAGUUGGACCUCAAAGUUGCAUGUCGUUGGAUGAGAAGGCAGAACAUAACAGAGAACUGGAAGCUAUUUUAAUGAGAGACCAAUCCAUUGAUUCAGAUGAUGAAUAUAUAGAAUUACAACCCCAGAAACAGAAUUCAAUUUUAUUGGAUGUGGAAAUAUUGUCUACAGAAGAUUUAAGCAAUGUUGAUGACAGAGAAGAAGAGCAAGAACUAGUCCAUGAAAAGGCAGAACCAAAAUUUGAAGAAUCUAGCUUCCAGGAGCAAAAGUACUCUGAUUCACCUGUCCAAAUCGAAGCAGAUUACAUGUUUGAGCACCAGGACAUAAUAGAACAGCUAAAAAUGGAGCUGAAACUAGCAAGAACUGGGGGUCUUCCAACAAUUCUUGAAGAAUCAGAAUCUGAAGAAUUGGAGACUCCGAAGACGGUACAAAAGCUAAAGCCAAUGAAGAUUGAAGACCAAAAAUUUGAGCGCAAAGAUCUCCUGGAUGGGAUUCACAAGGUUUACAAGAGCUACUCGGACAAAAUGCGAAAAUUGGAGAUCUUGAACUUCCAGACCAUGCACUCACUUGGCUUACUGCAGAUGAAAGAGACAGUUCAGUUUCAGACAGCUCGGAAAUCUUCUGUUACAGCUGUUAUCUCUCUUCUUUCGCAGAACUUAUGGUUGUGCAAAGGGACGGCGGUGGUUGAUCCAGUGAAGAAGGUGGUUGCAGAUAUGCAUAAUGAUUUUGAAACCAUAUAUGUUGGACAGCUUUGCCUUUCCUGGGAAAUACUCCAAUGGCAAUAUAGGAAAGCUCAAGAAUUGCAGAAAUAUGACUCUCAAGGAUCCCAUCAAUAUAAUCAAGUAGCUGGUGAGUUUCAGUUAUUUCAAGUCCUGAUACAAAGGUUUCUGGAGAAUGAGCAAUUUCAAGGUCCCAGGGUCGAGAAUUAUGUCAAGAGCAGAUGUGUCCUUCGUAGUCUUCUUCAAGUUCCUCUAGUUAGAGGUAACGACAAUUGACAAAUCAAUCAUUUGAACCAUCAUAAACCAUAUUCAACUCUCUGUACUUGAACUGCAGAUGAUAGUUUCAAGGACAAGGGAAAAAGAGGAGAUGACAAUGAAGGUGCAAUUACAAGCCAAAUGCUAAUAGAAACAAUGGAGCAAUCAAUGCUGGUUUUCUGGGAAUUCCUUCGUGCCAACAAAGAUGAAAGCAGUGUGAUCUUGCAGGGUCAUCAACAAGCCCAUAUUAAUCUCCAAGAACCUGUAGAUUUAGAGCUGUUAACAGAUAUUCGAUCCGAUUUUCAGAAGAAGGAUAAAAAGCUUAAAGACAUAUUGAGAAGUGGAAAUUGCAUAGUGAAGAGAUUCAGAAGGCAACAAGAAGAUCGAGUGCAUCAUAUUCACACACUGUUCAUAGCUCAGGUGGAACUGAAAUUGGUUUCUAGAGUUCUAAACAUGUCCAAACUAACAAGAGAUCAAUUGAUAUGGUGUCAUGAAAAAUUAGACAAAAUUAACUUCUGUAAUAGAAAAGUUUUUGUGGAGUCCUCAUUUUUGCUCUUUCCAUGUUGACAUGGUGAGUAGUCAGGAUUGCAACUUUCUUUCUGUAGAUAAAUGCUUUCAGAAGGUUUAAAUAUCAACAUAUACAUGUAAAGUUAUCAUGUCAUACAUACUACUACGGAUUUUUAUUGUUUAGACUCUGUAUAUCAUGAAACCUAAACACGAGGUUAAUGAGACAACUUUUCCCUUUUCUUCAAGCUUAU